GAUUACAAAAGGUCUGGGGUCUAGCUUUAUUUGAUGCUGUAAUUCAACCAAACCUGUUUGCAAAAUCCAUGCCUGCUGUUUGAUUUGGGAUCUGCUCUCACCUUAAGUGGAGAAGCAUGCUGUAUGUCUGCUAUAUUAAUUCAGUAUUCUGUUUUCAUAAACUCAUUUCAGGCAGGAAUACCGACCAUGGACUGGAGCAAAACCAUCAAAGCCUAUAAAGACAAAGCAAAGCUUCAUCAUUCCAGAAGAUCACUUUCUGCAAGAGACAAGCUACAGGGCAGAUUUUAAGAUUCCUGAAGCAAAGACCAAGUUUUCCCCCAAUCCUUCUGCAGUUUUCCAAGCACCAUCUCGUAUUCUCAAUGUGUGAACUUGGACCCAUUUUGCAUUCAGUCAGCUCAGACACAGGCUGUUAGUUAAAACGUACUGCUAUGCAACUUUUAUGAAGAGAGCUAAGAUCAAAGAGCCAAUAUUAUCAAAAGCAUCUACAGCAAUUAAUGGUAUAUACACAAUUCCUGUGAACACACAAAUUGCAAAGCACUUGAUUUGCAGUUGGCAAAACAUACUGCAAGGAAUGACCUAGUUUUCAUGGAAACAAGCUUAUUACUAAGCCAGCUGGCAUCACAUUAGGAGAUUGACUUUGGGCAGCAAAGAUGGUAUUGCAGGUAAUGUCCCUGUGCUUAAUUGCAAUGGAGGGGGCAAGGGGGAAAUCACAAGUGAGAAUCACUAUUAAAACCAAAAAAAGGUCUUAUUUAAUGGUCACCUCGAAAGUAGGUCAAUGAAAGAGUAUGAUUGCUUGUUGAACUCCACCCCCCACUCUCCAGGUCUCACAUAUGUACAGUAAAUUAAUAUACCAAAACAAAAAAACCCCCAACAACAACAUCAGUGGUUGGCCUUGAUUUUAGGGAUGCAUUUAAAAGGGGUUUCUUUUUUAAAUUAUAGUAUCCUUGAAAUAUGUCACUGAGGAUUUAGGAUUGAGUAGUUCAGAAAUUUAAAAACCACCAGAUGUAGAGUGUUGAAUUCCUAAAGAAUAACAUGACUUCAAGAGAGAGUGUCUGGAAGAGGAGGCAUCCAGAUGUGGUUCUGAGUUGAUAACACAGCCUGGGUGCUGUAAAUAUAUGGGCCAGACUCUAGUACAAAUCACAUAUUCUAGUUGCAUGUAAAGUAUAUGUAAAUAGUGUAAAUAGAUUUUGUUCAUUGAAUAUUUAUGAACCUUUAAUAAAAAGGAUGUGUGCAGACUUUUAUUAAAUGUUAACUCUUUGUAUAUGCAAGGUAGAAAAUAUAUUGCCUUGAAACUCCUGAAUUAUUGCCUGUAUAUUGGUAAUGCUCAUGCUAAAAUAACCAGAAGCAAAUGUUAUGUAGAAACUUUGUUUUAUGGAUUACAUUCUACAUCUUUGUAACUUCAUUUUAAAGAUGGAACACUUCAAAUUCCAUUAUUCCAGCAGUUUGGUUUUUUUAGAUAGCGUGGAUUUAUUUUUACUUAUCCAUGUGUAUUUUACAGAACCAUUUCUUAGCAAUGAGUUUCCAUCCAGAUUAGAUAAAAAAAUCUAAACCUAUCACAAAGGAUUUAUGUAGUAUAAAUUAGCUUAAUGCUCAUUUAUACAAUGCAGAAAAAUGUUUAAGUCAAAAAGAAAAAACACUGUGUUUGAAAUCUGCCCAUAGAAUGAAAGGAACUGCUGUCCUCUAACUUGAACAGUUAUUAGAUAGUCCUCCAUCUGUAAUAAACUGACUGAUAAAAAGAAUAAUUUUCUCUCAACCUUUUCAACUCAGACUGGUUUAAUGAACCUUUGAACUGUACAAAUACACUUCCAUUGCUAAGAAACCCUUCAAGAGCAACUCCUGAAUUGGUAGCUUGUGGACAGCAUUUGAAAUUUGUCUGCAAGGGUGUGUUCUCUCUGUGUUAUGUGAGGAUUUGGUGGAGCUGCUUCCACUAAAGCUGUAAGAAGUACUAAAACUGGUUUCAACCCAGUAAAGAUAAUAUACUGAUGAAUGUGGGUCUUGCUGCAAUGAAGGACUGAAGUUCUUGCAUUCUUUAUACCUUGUGUUGCCUCCCUUCCCUUCUGCCAAGGAUCUAGUAUCAAAACUUGCCAAAAAAAAUUUUUUGGGAAGACUAAUUUUUCAGGAAACAUUAAAAUAUUUAAACUGCACUAAAUAUUUUGCAUGUUAACUGUUUCUAAGAAAAACAAAACCAAACCAGUUAGUCUGCCUGGAUUAAUGCAUUUAUAAAGUUUUUAACAGCUCUGUUUUAACAGUUUCAGUUCAUUUCAACUUCGGAUUUUACCAAACAGCAAAAAACAUACUGCUUAUUCAUUUUUUUCUUCUUAACUAACUAUAUUUGUAGGAAAAAAAAAUGUAAACAAAAUGGUAAUACAUUAAGCUUGUAUUUUAUCAAACAGACUGGAAGCUAAUUUAUUAAAGUGUAUUUUGGCUACU